AGAGUUUGAUCCUGGCUCAGGACGAACGCUGGCGGCGUGCCUAAUACAUGCAAGUCGAGCGGACAGAUGGGAGCUUGCUCCCUGAUGUUAGCGGCGGACGGGUGAGUAACACGUGGGUAACCUGCCUGUAAGACUGGGAUAACUCCGGGAAACCGGGGCUAAUACCGGAUGGUUGUUUGAACCGCAUGGUUCAAACAUAAAAGGUGGCUUCGGCUACCACUUACAGAUGGACCCGCGGCGCAUUAGCUAGUUGGUGAGGUAACGGCUCACCAAGGCAACGAUGCGUAGCCGACCUGAGAGGGUGAUCGGCCACACUGGGACUGAGACACGGCCCAGACUCCUACGGGAGGCAGCAGUAGGGAAUCUUCCGCAAUGGACGAAAGUCUGACGGAGCAACGCCGCGUGAGUGAUGAAGGUUUUCGGAUCGUAAAGCUCUGUUGUUAGGGAAGAACAAGUACCGUUCGAAUAGGGCGGUACCUUGACGGUACCUAACCAGAAAGCCACGGCUAACUACGUGCCAGCAGCCGCGGUAAUACGUAGGUGGCAAGCGUUGUCCGGAAUUAUUGGGCGUAAA
rnacentral:rRNA from 1 species